UUUUUAUUGUGGGUACUUUGCGAAAAAUUCAGGAAGGAGUUGGGGUUCUCUGGACUGGAAUUGGACCUAACAUUGCACGUAAUGCUAUGAUUAAUGCUGCUGAACUAGCCAGAUAUGAUCAAGUGAAGCAGACACUUCUGAAAAUUCUCGGGUUAAAGGCAAUGUUGUCACUCAUCUUUUUGCUGGUAUGGGGAUAAGUUUCUAUGCCAAUGAUUUUAUUUUAUUUUACUUAUUCAUUUUCGACUAUGCAUAUAUUUGAUCCUCUAUUUUCUUUUUUAUCGUAGAUUAUAUGGUUGAAAAGCUUGGCAUAGAGUUUGUUUUUGCAGGUCAGUGUGGAUUAAAGAUGGGCAGAUCUGGUACCUCUCCCUUAACAAUAAUGCAGGGUUAUUCCUAGUCCUUUUUCAUAUGACACAAGGACUAUGCUGAUAUAUGAUAGUGAAGACUGGGAGGAAGACUUUAGAACCUUAACCAAGGAUGCCCGCUCUGGUGUAAUGAUCCAAAGCUCAAGAAGCAACAUAAAUGAGUUGGAGUGGGAUUUUAGAGCUUGAGAAGCAAGUACUAUGGAUUACCUCCUUUCAGCAUGUGAGCUACCAAGUUUGAUUCAUGGGUCUAGCUAGCAGCUAGGAAUAGCUAGGGAUGCUUUUGAUUCAUGUGUAGGUAGCAGCUAGGAAUGCGUUCUUGUUUGAUAUAUUAUCUAGUAACUUGAAUGUUUGGAUGUUUGAAAAAUGCUACUUGAAUGAUAUGGAUUAGAGUGUGGUUUUAUAUGGUAAUAUGGAGCAUUAUUUUUGGGUAGA